GUUAGUUUUCUCUAUUAGCAUUUUGGACUUGUGGCCCUAUUUAUUUUGUUUUGUUUAUAUUUUAGAUUGAAGAAUGCACUCUGCUGUUUGGUAUUCGCAUCCACGGAAAUAUGGCCCCGGCUCCCGCCAUUGUCGAGUUUGCGGAAACCGACAUGGUUUAAUUCGUAAGUAUGGUUUGAAUACCUGCCGUCAGUGUUUUCGUCAGUAUGCUAAGGACAUAGGUUUUAAAAAGUAUCGCUAGAGGGACCUUUACAUAAAGAUUCACUUGAAUUAUAAAUAAAAUUUUUGUUCGGUUUU